rnacentral:rRNA from 1 species
AUUGAACGCUGGCGGCAGGCCUAACACAUGCAAGUCGAGCGAGCGGCGGACGGGUGAGUAAUGUAUGGGAACCUGCCUGAUGGAGGGGGAUAACUACUGGAAACGGUAGCUAAUACCGCAUACCAGCAGAUGUGCCCAGAUGGGAUGUGGUAGAAGGUGGGGUAAUGGCCCACCUAGGCGACGAUCCCUAGCUGGGCGGAGAGGAUGACCAGCCACACUGGAACUGAACCACGGUCAAGAGUCCUACGCGAGGCAGCAGAGGGGAAUAGUGCACAAUGGGGGCAAGCAUGAUGCAGCAAUGCAGCGUGUGUGAAGAAGGCCUUCGGGUUGUAAAGCAGUUUCAGCGGGGAGGCGUUACCCGCAGAAGAAGCACCGGCUAACUCCGUGCCAGCGGCCGCGGUAAUUC